CACCUGAAGGCGACCGAGCUGGAGCUUGUUUUAUAGUAGAAAUGAGGCGGCCCAACCGGUCGGCAGGACAAAACGCUUCUAUUGAACAGCCCAGACAGGGGGAAGCAGGUACCGUUUCUCCUGCAUGGAACUGAGAAAUCUGGACACAGACACACACAGAGGAGAAUGCCACGGGAAGGCAGAGAGGCACACGGAGAAGACGGCCAGUGACAACAGAAGUGAGACUGCACUGAGGUAACCACAAGCCAAGAAAUACCAGGGAGGACCGGUAACUUCCAGAAGCUAGGAGAGAAGCAUGGAACAGGCUCUCUGUCAGAGGCCUCCAGAAGGAACCAACCUUGCUUGGACUUCUAACCUUCAGAACUGUUGAGAGCAUACACUUCUAUUGUUUUCAGCUGCUCAGUUUGUGGUCAUUUGUAACUGCAGUCCUAGAAAACGAAUAUGCCAACUUGGGCCGACGUCAAACAACUCAAAUAAAUUCUGUAGUGCACUCCCCUCUGCUCAUGUCUGGUAAAUGUCCUCCUCACUGUCUAGAUACCUCGGUGGCGGAGUAAGCUUAGUACCUGUGUCAUCAAAGGCAGAGGCUACAUUCUGACUUCAUUUUGAUAUAUCUUGCAGAUAACCUGGGACUUUCAAAGUCCACUGGAAGUGAUCGUUGUAAUACUUUCCCUCUUUUCGUGAUGUGAAUUCAGAGCCAGGCCAAAGGCAGUUUGGCAAACUGUCAGCAACUGAUAGUAUGACUGAAAAAGCUGAUAUGUCAGCUAUUGUUCUCCUGUAUUAGCUUCUUCGGGUCCUAUGAAUUCAGGAAGCAUAACAAAGCGCUGUAUUGUCCAAACUCUUCUGAAUAUAUGGCUAGUGAUCACAUAGCUCCUUUUGUCUUAGGCUGUGCCUGUCGAAGAGGAUUUCUCUGGUGUCUUUGUUUCUCUUUAGAGCUUUUCCCUCUAAUUUGAUCUGUACUUGAGACAUGGUUAUAAAGAACGCCACGUACCUGGUAGAGCAGAAUCGCACGUAAGUAUGGCUAAAGUCGUUCUGCGAUGCAGGAAGGAAAUUUCCCACACAGAAGAGGUCUGAGAGCUAACAUUUCUUGAGUGAGUCCCAUGCGCCGAACACCUCUGCUUGA